CUUGUACUCCCUUCGUCCGGAAUUACUUGUUAUCAAAAUAGAUGAAAAUGAAUGUUUCUAGAACUAAUAUACAUCUAGAUACAUCCAUUUCAAUGACAAAUAUUUCUGGACGGAGGGAGUAUUAG
rnacentral:pre_miRNA from 1 species